GUCAUUUCAAUAUUGCAAAAAACCUUAUUUGAAUCAAUAGCAUAUGUCUUUAAAGCAUUAACGCAUUGUUUUAUCUGGUGCCACUAUAAAAGGUUUUGGAAACUUUGAUAACGAAAGUUUGUAAACAGGUAAAAUGAUGUAAAACUUCUGGUUAUGGUUAUUUUUUUCUAUACAAAGCAAUGUAAUGGUGUGCAUGUUGUGUGUGACAUUUCAACUCUAGUUCUCGACAUGAUUGUUGUGUUUAUACUUUGGUGUUGACAUGAAUAUCAAUAUAAUGUGGUCAUUUUAUAAAUUUCCUGUUUACAAAACUUUGAUUUUUUUGGAAAAACUAAGGAUUUUCUUAUCCCAGGCAUAUAUUACCUUAGCCGUAUUUGGCACAACAUUUUGGAAUUUUGGACCCUCAAUGCUUUCAACUUUGUCCUUGUUUGGC
rnacentral:lncRNA from 1 species